rnacentral:other from 1 species
UUAUCUCUGCCGUGUCUGUAUUGGUCAGUAUUCCGUGAACCAAUAUCUGUGAUCCCGGUUGCGGACUUUUAAGGGUCGGUGUGAUUCCCUCUUGUCAGGGAAACCUAAAGACCCUAACACUGCGACCCACUUGAACCUUAGGUUCAGGGAUCGGACCAGUAUGGCAUCGGCAGAGACCCC